AAAAACACAAAUAAGAAAAAUAGUCAUGAGUUUUGUAGAGUGGUACAAUCUUUCUCUCAUUUGACUUCAACCGAUUUGUUCUGAUACCAAUUCGCCAGGUAACUGCUGAUUUCAACUUCAUUUUAUGGAUUUAAAUUUCUUGACUUCUGGAGUUAUUUGGUCAAUGCAGUAGUACUAAAAAUCGAUUUUGAUUUUAUAGGUCUGUUCUGAUUCUAAUUUGACUGCAGAUAUUGAAAAUCAUGUGAAGACUCCAAUUUUCUUCCACCGGGGAUAUGUUUUUCUUGCUUGGGAUUGCAUAUUAUGUAUUGCAUUUCCUGAAAUGAAAUUAUUUUCUUUUAUUACGGGACAAAAUUUUGACAUUUUCUUUCAAAUAAGGACUUUCAAAGAUGAUUUUGAAGUGGCCUUUCAGCUGCUUGAUACCUUCGAGAAUCUAAUUUCGUUCUUGUUGCAUUUAUGUGUUAUAGAAGUCAUCCUUGUUCGAGUUCUUUAUAUUAGUGAUUUUGAUGCCAAAUUGCUGAUAUAAUGCCUGAAAUGCUGCAUUCACCAGAAACCACGAGUUUGUGUAACAACAUUAAGGAGGCGUUUGCUUUUAAUGAUUGAUAAGAUACAUGGAGUAUUUUUAUCCUCAUUACUAAGAUUUCUUUAAUCCCAC
rnacentral:lncRNA from 1 species